GUCGAGCGGACAGAUGGGAGCUUGCUCCCUGAUGUUAGCGGCGGACGGGUGAGUAACACGUGGGUAACCUGCCUGUAAGACUGGGAUAACUCCGGGAAACCGGGGCUAAUACCGGAUGCUUGUUUGAACCGCAUGGUUCAGACAUAAAAGGUGGCUUCGGCUACCACUUACAGAUGGACCCGCGGCGCAUUAGCUAGUUGGUGAGGUAACGGCUCACCAAGGCAACGAUGCGUAGCCGACCUGAGAGGGUGAUCGGCCACACUGGGACUGAGACACGGCCCAGACUCCUACGGGAGGCAGCAGUAGGGAAUCUUCCGCAAUGGACGAAAGUCUGACGGAGCAACGCCGCGUGAGUGAUGAAGGUUUUCGGAUCGUAAAGCUCUGUUGUUAGGGAAGAACAAGUGCCGUUCAAAUAGGGCGGCACCUUGACGGUACCUAACCAGAAAGCCACGGCUAACUACGUGCCAGCCGCC
rnacentral:rRNA from 1 species